GCUCAGAAACUUAAAGGAAUUGACGGGGGCCCGCACAAGCGGUGGAGCAUGUUGGUUUAAUUCGAUGAUACGCGAGGAACCUUACCUGGGCUCAAAUGUAUGUUGACGUAUUCUGAAAGGGAUACUUCUUCGGACAAUAUACAAGGUGCUGCAUGGUUGUCGUCAGCUCGUGCCGUGAGGUGUCGGGUUAAGUCCCAUAACGAGCGCAACCCCUAUCAUUAGUUGCCAGCAGUUCGGCUGGGCACUCUAAAGGGACUGCCGGUGUUAAACCGGAGGAAGGUGGGGAUGACGUCAAGUCCUCAUGGCCUUUAUGACCAGGGCUACACACGUACUACAAUGGCCGAUACAAAGGGCAGCGACACUGCGAGGUGAAGCCAAUCCCGUAAAAUCGGUCUCAGUCCGGAUUGGAGUCUGCAACUCGACUCCAUGAAGUUGGAAUCGCUAGUAAUCGUGGAUCAGCAUGCCACGGUGAAUACGUUCCCGGGCCUU
rnacentral:rRNA from 1 species